rnacentral:rRNA from 1 species
UACGUAGGGGGCAAGCGUUGUCCGGAUUUAUUGGGCGUAAAGAGCGUGUAGGCGGCCAUACAGGUCAGCUGUGAAAACUCGAGGCUCAACCUCGAGACGUCGGUUGAAGCCGUAUGGCUAGAGUCCGGAAGAGGAGAGUGGAAUUCCCGGUGUAGCGGUGAAAUGCGCAGAUAUCGGGAAGAACACCUAUGGCGAAGGCAGCUCUCUGGGACGGUACUGACGCUGAGACGCGAAAGCGUGGGGAGCGAACAGG